GACGAACGCUGGCGGCGUGCCUAAUACAUGCCAGUCGAACGCUGAAGGCCGAGCUUGCUUCUCUGGAUGAGUUGCGAAAGGGUGAGUAACGCGUAGGUAACCUGCCUUUUAGCGGGGGAUAACUAUUGGAAACUAUAGCUAAUACCGCAUAAUAGUAGAUGUUGCAUGACAUUUGCUGAAAAGGUGCAAUUGCAUCACUACCAGAUGGACCUGCGUUGUAUUAGGUAGUUGGUGGGGUAACGGCUCACCAAGGCGACGACACAGAGCAGACAUGAGAGGGGGGGCAGCCAGACUGGGACGGAGACACGGCACAGAGGCAUAGGGGUGGGAGCAGUAGGGAUGCUUCGGCAAUGAGCGGAAGUUUGAGCACAAUACGCCGCAGGAGUAUAGAGGGAUUUCGUAUGGUGAAGGACGGUUGUAGGGGAAGAAAGAGCGUGCGACUGGGAAGUUCAGACUGUGACGGUAUCUUACCAGAAAGCAACGGCUAACUACGUG
rnacentral:rRNA from 1 species